AACGCACAUUGCGCCCUUUGGUAUUCCGAAGGGCAUGCCUGUUCGAGCGUCAUUAUAACCACUCAAGCCUGGCUUGGUAUUGGAGGUCGCUAUCUGCGUCUCCUAAAAUCAGUGGCGGUGCCUGUAGGCUCUACGCGUAGUAAUACUUCUCGCUAUAGGGUCCUGCGGGUUACUUGCCAACAACUCCUAAUUUUUUAAGGUUGACCUCGGAUCAGGUAGGGAUACCCGCUGAACUUAA
rnacentral:misc_RNA from 1 species